GACGAACGCUGGCGGCGUGCUUAACACAUGCAAGUCGAACGGAAAGGCCCUGCUUUUGUGGGGUGCUCGAGUGGCGAACGGGUGAGUAACACGUGAGUAACCUGCCCUUGACUUUGGGAUAACUUCAGGAAACUGGGGCUAAUACCGGAUAGGAGCUCCUGCUGCAUGGUGGGGGUUGGAAAGUUUCGGCGGUUGGGGAUGGACUCGCGGCUUAUCAGCUUGUUGGUGGGGUAGUGGCUUACCAAGGCUUUGACGGGUAGCCGGCCUGAGAGGGUGACCGGCCACAUUGGGACUGAGAUACGGCCCAGACUCCUACGGGAGGCAGAAGUGGGGAAUAUUGCACAAUGGGCGGAAGCCUGAUGCAGCAACGCCGCGUGCGGGAUGACGGCCUUCGGGUUGUAAACCGCUUUCGCCUGUGACGAAGCGUGAGUGACGGUAAUGGGUAAAGAAGCAGCGGCUAACUACGUG
rnacentral:rRNA from 1 species